AUUGAACGCUGGCGGCAGGCUUAACACAUGCAAGUCGAGCGGAGAUGAGGUGCUUGCACCUUAUCUUAGCGGCGGACGGGUGAGUAAUGCUUAGGAAUCUGCCUAUUAGUGGGGGACAACAUUCCGAAAGGAAUGCUAACACCGCAUACGCCCUACGGGGGAAAGCAGGGGAUCUUCGGACCUUGCGCUAAUAGAUGAGCCUAAGUCGGAUUAGCUAGUUGGUGGGGUAAAGGCCUACCAAGGCGACGAUCUGUAGCGGGUCUGAGAGGAUGAUCCGCCACACUGGGACUGGGACACGGCCCAGACUCCGACGGGGGGCAGCAGGGGGGAAUAUUGGACAAUGGGCGGAAGCCUGAUCCAGCCAUGCCGCGUGUGUGAAGGAGGCCUUUUGGUUGUAAAGCACUUUAAGCGAGGAGGAGGCUACCUGGAUUAAUACUCUAGGAUAGUGGACGUUACUCGCAGAAUAAGCACCGGCUAACUCUGUGCCAGCAGCCGCCGCCGUAA
rnacentral:rRNA from 1 species